UUUUUAUUAGGUUAAACUGAGAGAUUUUAAAUCAUACAGAGCCACAUUUAUGGAUAACAUCUGGUCUUUACAUUUACGUCCUUUUUUUAUUCAGUGACGAUUGUUUGUUCCUGGGAAAAGAGGGUACCUGAGAAUCCUACUCAAACCAAGUAUCCCACUCAUGAUCUACUUCUGAUAUUCCAAUCAUAAGCCUAUCAGCCUGACUGUACCAGCUGCUGUGGUGAAGCGACUGAGAGGAUGGCACUCGGCACUCUCCCUCAUUUCUCAGUAUCCCCUGCCCUCGCUGCUGCAAAGGUACCACGUGUGAACAGCAA